GGCGUCGUGAGGGAGGAAGCGGGCAGUGCGUUGCUUCGUGCGUGGCUCAGUGCCUUUCUUUCUUCUGGUGUGCCUCCCGCCCGGUUAGCGCCUAUCUGCUUCUCUUAGAGCUGCUCUUUAAGUCUUCUUGUCUCUGGGUUGUCCGGACGGGGCGUCGCCCCGCAGGGUUGCCUCAGUUUGGGCGGGAAGCGCGGCCUCUGGAGCGCCUCACAGCGCUGUGGGCGGGAAGCACCGGUCUGGGGGCGAUGCUGGGCCGCCGGGACCCUCACGCCAUCCCAGAGCUGUGUUUGGGACAAACGAGCCCUCAGCUCACCGAGUCCUGCCCUGUGAGGCACCCCGGGCCUGGUGCUGCUCUCUGUGGGCGCGUUGGGCCGUGCUCGGCCGCGCUGCAGGGCUGUGUGCAGGCAGCCUGUCGCAGCCGGUGCAUGGUGCUGUCCUGUUGGGUUACCUGUGUGUCAGGAAACACAUCUCACCCACCUCACGUUGGUGCUUUGUGGCUAGCUCUGAUUUCUGGAGCUGGACAACGAGCUCCUGACAUGGGUUUCUGCUGAGUAAGUGUGGCUAUCAAAGCAAACCCGUGUCCCACAGCAUGGUGGCUGUUACCUGUGUGGAGGCAGUGGCUGCUCUGGGGCCUGUUCCUUGUGUGCUCAGCCUGUGGUGGGAGUGGGGCAGGGCUUCUGUUCACUGGGAUGUUGCUCAGUGCCUCAGAGCAACCCAGUUUCAGGUUAAUGCAAGUCUUACCUAAUACUCAGCCUACUCACGGGGCUAUUGGGUUUAUUUCGAGCUUUGUGCCAGAUGAUAUGUGCAGAAACGGCUCUCUUGCCCCUCUAGUUCAGGGAGGUUGUGCUUGGUCUUUGCAGACAUCAGCUAGUUACAGAGAGUUUCACCCCCAAGGGCUGGUGCACUGCUGCCUGUUUAUUAUAAAACAUCUUUUCCCAAAACGCCCAGUGGUUGUUCAGGGGUCAGCAUUGCUGUGAGGCGAGCAAGGAAGCUGCAGAGCGAACUGGCUCAAUUCAAGAGCCCAGAGCAGAGCUGGCAUUUUCAUGGGAUGCAUUUGUCACAGGAGGUCCUGCUGGCUUUCUGUGCCUGCAGGGUGCCGUGUUUUAAUUAAGCGACUUUCCUUGUUUCUUAACUGCUGCUCCUUUUCUGUUUCAGAGCUUUAGCCAGUGGAGAUGGCAGGGACCUCGGACCAAGUUGGAUGUGGCAGCCAAGCUGUGAGGACACAGGCAGGGUUUGUCUGGAGCUGCAUCUCAGUAAUGAGCCUGCUGGCAAUCCACUGCUUUUGAGCAGUGACAGCCUGGUGUCACCCUCCCUGUCAAGGUGAAGAGUUCCUGCUGUAUUUGGGAUCCUGCAGUGAAGAAAAACCCCUGCUCAACGCUCUCCUCCACGUUUCUUAGUUCACCAAGCCAGUGCACGUGUUGGAGAUGGCUGUUUGAGUCUGCUUCAAGUGUUGCCAUUAGGUACAAGAGUCAACAUCCCUUUUCUUUCCCUGCUAACUGUCCCUUGGCCGGCCCUGAUCUUCCACACUGAUUAGUUCUCACUUAAACAUCCAGGAGCACAACACUAAGAGGAUUUUGCCAUGGCAGGUUAUCCCCGUGGCAGGGAAGAUGCAAAGCUUCCUUAGCAGUCCUGAUGCGUGCAGUGAUUUCCAUCACAGAAGAGCAAUAAGGAGCAGGGUGACCAGCAUCCUGCUGCCCCUCCCUGUGCAACCCCCACUCCUUUUGCAGGUGAUGGCUGCAGAUUGGGGUUCUUGCACAGAAUUGCCUGUGAGGAGGUGUUCUCCUGCCCCAUGACCACCCUGUGGUUGAGAGGUGACGGAAGGACCACACCAUCCCAGGGAUGCUCUGGUACUGGAAGUGGCUUUUAUUUAGGAGUUGUGUUGGCUUCUCACAAUUUUCUCCUAGGCAAAAGGAUCGUUUUCAGCUUUCAGAGAACUGUAACCAAAGAACAUUUGGGGUUUUCUGGUUCCCCAGAAUAAAACAAUUCCAACCCCUGUAAAAGGCUCAGCCUUUUCAGUCCUCUCCCACCUCUAGCCCUCCAUGGAAAGGCUGUGAAGCCAGCCUUCCCACAGGAGGUAUCCCGUAGCCCACAGGGCUGCAAAUGUGACAUGAGUUGCUCUUGUGUCACCCCACAGCCCUCCUCUGUCCUGGAACCCCUCCCUGCCAGCCCUCCUGUGGGCAGGAAAUCACACCCAGAGAUCUGCAUUUCUCAGGAAAGGGCGAAAAUGCCACAAAGGUGAGAAUGUGGCCAAAU
rnacentral:lncRNA from 1 species